rnacentral:RNase_P_RNA from 1 species
GAAGGUGCCCGGGCGGCCGCGGCCUUGCGCUCAGCGCGGGCCGAGGAAAUUCCGGGCUUCACCGGGCGGGGUGCCGGGUAACACCCGGGCGCCGCGAGGCGACGGCUUAGUGCCACAGAAAACACACCGCCGAUGGCCCGCCUUCGGGCGCGGCACAGGCAAGGGUGAAAAGGUGAGGUAAGAGCUCACCGCGGCGUCGGCAACGGCGCCGGCACGGCAAACCCCACCCGAAGCAAGGCCGAAUAGGUGGCGGGACCGGCCCGGGUCAAGCGUCCGCAAGGGCGCGCCGCCGCGGGUAGGCCGCUCGAGCCGGGCGGCGACGUCCGGCCCAGAUGAAUGGCCGCCGCCCCGUCGUAGGGCGGGAUACAGAACCCGGAUUAUAGGGCACCUUCUAAC